GUUCCGGUGGCAUAGUGGUUAGAACGUCCGCCUCGGAUGCGUGAGAGCGAGGGUUCGAGCCCCAAUCGAAGCG